UACGGAGGAUGCGAGCGUUAUCCGGAUUUAUUGGGUUUAAAGGGUGCGCAGGCGGCACGGCAAGCCGGCGGUCAAAUCGCGGGGCUCAACCCCGCCCAGCCGUCGGAACUGCCGGGCUAGAGUGGGCGAGAAGUGCGCGGAAUGCGUGGUGUAGCGGUGAAAUGCAUAGAUAUCACGCAGAGCUCCGAUUGCGAAGGCAGCGUACCGGCAUCCAACUGACGCUGAGGCACGAAAGCGUGGGGAUCAAACAGG
rnacentral:rRNA from 1 species